GUGGGGAAUAUUGCACAAUGGGGGAAACCCUGAUGCAGCGACGCCGCGUGAGUGAUGAAGUAUUUCGGUAUGUAAAGCUCUAUCAGCAGGGAAGAUAAUGACGGUACCUGACUAAGAAGCACCGGCUAAAUACGUGCCAGCAGCCGCGGUAAUACGUAUGGUGCAAGCGUUAUCCGGAUUUACUGGGUGUAAAGGGUGCGUAGGUGGUGAGACAAGUCUGAAGUGAAAAUCCGGGGCUUAACCCCGGAACUGCUUUGGAAACUGCCUGACUAGAGUACAGGAGAGGUAAGUGGAAUUCCUAGUGUAGCGGUGAAAUGCGUAGAUAUUAGGAGGAACACCAGUGGCGAAGGCGACUUACUGGACUGCUACUGACACUGAGGCACGAAAGCGUGGGGAGCAAACAGGAUUAGAAACCCCGGUAGUCC
rnacentral:rRNA from 1 species